UCCGCCUCCGCUGCGGGAGAGGCCCGGGUCUCUGGCGGAGUCUAGGCCGCCGGUUCCGUCCGAGGAAGGUUCCGCGCCACGGAAGUGGAGGUCACAUGCUAACCGAGCUGUGCGCGCUUCAGGCGUCGCUGAGAGAUUUCCUUUUACGAAGCGCAGUUUGCCGCAGGAUGUCGAGCGAUAAAGUGGCCACCGUAUCUUAACACCCCCUAUUUCAUACCCCGUCACUGUGUGCGUCGCUCUGAACUUUCGUGAACGCUUCUGCCAAAGACCCUCAAAGUAUUGCUAGCUCUCAAGACAAGGUUUCUCCGUGUAGCCUUGGCUGUCCUGGUCUUGCUUUCUAGACCAAGCUGGCCCUGAACCCGCCUGCCUCUCCCUCCCCUACUGCUGGGAUCACAGGUGUGUGCCACUGUGCGCUAACUCAGACAUGGACUCUUGUUGCCUGUUUUUUGAUCACUCCCCCCUAGUGGGGCUGCCUUACCAUGCCUCAGGGGAAGAGGAUGAGCUCAGUCCUGAUGCGACUUGAUGAACUGAGAGGUCAGAAAACCUGCAAGAGGCAGCUCUAUUCUUCCACCAUGGAUCACAGGAGAGAACUCAGGCCCAGUGAAUGACCUGGACAGGAGCCAAGGCCUAGUCCUGCGAUGGCUGUUGCUGCUAUCAACCUGACCAUGAAAGCUUACACCUGCCAACUGAAGCAAAAGCUAACUGCCAUGCAUGCUUCUGGAAGAAUCUCCAUUUGCUUGCUUACUUGCCCUAUCUUAUGGUUUUAGAAGAUAAAAUGAGACUGUAAAAUGGACUUGGAACUGAAGCAUUUUUGUUUCUUGUUCUUUUUUUUUUUUCCUUAUUUUUCAAGACAGGGUUUCUCUGUGUAGCCUUAGCUGUCGUAGACUCGUUUUGUAGACUAGGCUGGCCUCAAAAUCACAAAUAUUCUACCUCCCUGAGCAAUGAGAUAAUAGGUAUGCACCACCGUGCCCAGCCUUGUUCUAUGUUUUCAAGAAAGGGUUUCUUUAUGUGGCCAUGACUGUCUGGAACUUGCUCUGUAGACCAUGC